CGCCUCUUGCAUUAUAUGUAUAAGAGGUCCCGCCUGCCCUGUGACUAUAUGUUUAACGGCCGCGGUAUUUUGACCGUGCAAAGGUAGCGCAAUCACUUGUCUUUUAAAUAAAGACCUGUAUGAAUGGCAUGACGAGGGCUUAACUGUCUCCUUCUCCCGGUCAAUGAAAUUGAUCUCCCCGUGCAGAAGCGGGGAUAUUAUUAUAAGACGAGAAGACCCUGUGGAGCUUUAAAUGAUGAGAGAUUUUAUGCAACAAACCUAAAAAGGUAUAAGCGAAUUUAUACUCCCUCUAAUAUUUUUGGUUGGGGCGACCGCGGAGUAAAAAGAAACCUCCGUGAGGAAUGAGGUAAUUAACCUUAAAUCCCAGAACGACAAUUCAAAGAAACAAAAUUUUUGACCUAAAGAUCCGGCAAAGCCGAUCAACGAACCUAGUUACCCCAGGGAUAACAGCGCAAUCCCCUUCAAGAGUCCCUAUCGACAAGGGGGUUUACGACCUCGAUGUUGGAUCAGGAUAUCCUAAUGGUGUAGCCGCUAUUAAGGGUUCGUUUGUUCAACGAUUAAAAUCCU
rnacentral:rRNA from 2 species